rnacentral:lncRNA from 1 species
GGUCUCCUGAAGAAAUGAAAUUCGGCUGCUGUUAUUCAGAAAGACAGCAUGGGGAAUGAAGGGCAAGGAACAGUCUCCUGCGACAGAGAAGUCUUCACCCGCCAUUGAGAGACCCUGGAUAGGACCAGUCACAUGAGCCGAUCUGACCACCAAGGCAUAGGGAGGUGUGGUCUUCCCAAGGGCCCAG